UGAGCUGGUGGUGGCCGCAGAGACCAGCGAGAAGCGACUGUUUACUAAAAACACAGGUCCGUGCGAAGCCGUAAGGCGAUGUAUACGGACUGACGCCUGCCCGGUGCUGGAACGUUAAGGGGACCGGUUAGCUCCAUUUCGGUGGGGCGAAGCUGAGAACUUAAGCGCCAGUAAACGGCGGUGGUAACUAUAACCAUCCUAAGGUAGCGAAAUUCCUUGUCGGGUAAGUUCCGACCUGCACGAAUGGCGUAACGACUUCUCGACUGUCUCAACCAUAGGCCCGGUGAAAUUGCACUACGAGUAAAGAUGCUCGUUUCGCGCAGCAGGACGGAAAGACCCCGGGACCUUUACUAUAGCUUGAUAUUGGUGUUUGGUUCGGCUUGUGUAGGAUAGGUGGGUGACUGUGAAGCUGUGACGCCAGUCAUGGUGGAGUCGUUGUUGAAAUACCACUCUGGUCGUGCUGGAUGUCUAACCUGGGUCCGUGAUCCGGAUCAGGGACAGUGUCUGGUGGGUAGUUUAACUGGGGCGGUUGCCUCCUAAAGGGUAACGGAGGCGCCC
rnacentral:rRNA from 1 species